AGAGUUUGAUCAUGGCUCAGGACGAACGCUGGCGGCGUGCUUAACACAUGCAAGUCGAGCGGUAAGGCCCUUUCGGGGGUACACGAGCGGCGAACGGGUGAGUAACACGUGGGUGAUCUGCCCUGCACUUCGGGAUAAGCCUGGGAAACUGGGUCUAAUACCGGAUAUGACCAAAGGCUGCAUGGCUUUUGGUGGAAAGGUUUACUGGUGCAGGAUGGGCCCGCGGCCUAUCAGCUUGUUGGUGGGGUAAUGGCCUACCAAGGCGACGACGGGUAGCCGACCUGAGAGGGUGACCGGCCACACUGGGACUGAGACACGGCCCAGACUCCUACGGGAGGCAGCAGUGGGGAAUAUUGCACAAUGGGCGAAAGCCUGAUGCAGCGACGCCGCGUGAGGGAUGACGGCCUUCGGGUUGUAAACCUCUUUCAGCAGGGACGAAGCGAAAGUGACGGUACCUGCAGAAGAAGCACCGGCCAACUACGUGCCAGCAGCCGCGGUAAUACGUAGGGUGCGAGCGUUGUCCGGAAUUACUGGGCGUAAAGAGCUCGUAGGCGGUUUGUCGCGUCGUCUGUGAAAACCAGCAGCUCAACUGCUGGCUUGCAGGCGAUACGGGCAGACUUGAGUACUGCAGGGGAGACUGGAAUUCCUGGUGUAGCGGUGAAAUGCGCAGAUAUCA
rnacentral:rRNA from 1 species